AGAGUUUGAUCCUGGCUCAGAGCGAACGUUAGCGGCACGCCUAACACAUGCAAGUCGAACGAGGCGGAAGGGGGCAACUCUUUCCGUCGAGUGGCGGACGGGUGAGUAACACGUGGGUAACCUGCCCGGAAGUGGGGAAUACCUCGGGGAAACUCGAGCUAAUACCGCAUGACAUCGCAGGGNACGGAAGUCCUGGCGAUCAAAGCGGGGUCGCAAGAUCUCGCGCUACCGGAUGGGCCCGCGCCCGAUUAGCUAGUUGGUGAGGUAACGGCUCACCAAGGCUUCGAUCGGUAACCGGCCUGAGAGGGCGAUCGGUCACACCGGAACUGAGACACGGUCCGGACUCCUACGGGAGGCAGCAGUGGGGAAUCUUGCGCAAUGGGCGAAAGCCUGACGCAGCAACGCCGCGUGGAGGAUGAAGGCCCUUGGGUUGUAAACUCCUGUCGGCUGGGAAGAAAUCGUUCGCGGCUAAUACCCGCGAGCGUUGACUGUACCAGCAAAGGAAGCCCCGGCUAACUCUGUGCCAGCAGCCGCGGUAAUACAGAGGGGGCUAGCGUUAUUCGGAAUUAUUGGGCGUAAAGGGCGCGUAGGCGGCCUUGCAUGUCUUCCGUGAAAUCCCUCGGCUCAACUGAGGACGUGCGGAANAAACUGCGAGGCUCGAGUCCGGGAGAGGAGGGUGGAAUUCCCAGUGUAGCGGUGAAAUGCGUA
rnacentral:rRNA from 1 species